AGGCGUUUAGGUCUAGCGAGCACCUCCCACCCGUGKUUACUGUACCUUAGUUGCUUCGGCGGGCCCGUGAUGUGGCCGCCGGGGGCUCUCAGCCCCGGGCCCGCCCCCGCCGGAGACACCACGAACUCUGUCUGAUCUAGUGAAGUCUGAGUUGAUUGUAUCGCAAUCAGUUAAAACUUUCAACAAUGGAUCUCUUGGUUCCGGCAUCGAUGAAGAACGCAGCGAAAUGCGAUAACUAGUGUGAAUUGCAGAAUUCCGUGAAUCAUCGAGUCUUUGAACGCACAUUGCGCCCCCUGGUAUUCCGGGGGGCAUGCCUGUCCGAGCGUCAUUGCUGCCCAUCAAGCACGGCUUGUGUGUUGGGUCGUCGUCCCCUCUCCGGGGGGGACGGGCCCCAAAGGCAGCGGCGGCACCGCGUCCGAUCCUCGAGCGUAUGGGGCUUUGUCACCCGCUCUGUAGGCCCGGCCGGCGCUUGCCGAACGCAAAUCAAUCUUUUUCCAGGUUGACCUCGGAUCAGGUAGGGAUACCCGCUGAACUUAAGCAUAUCAAUAA
rnacentral:rRNA from 1 species